rnacentral:lncRNA from 1 species
UUUGAGGUGUACAUUCCACUGAGCUCAACUAGAUAACCAGAUAGCAGAAAAGGAGGCUUCUUUGGAGCAUUCCAUCCCCUUCAUCUUCCUCCUCUUAAAUCGCGAGCCAUCACCAUGUCAAUGGCCUUGUUUUCUUCGUCUCCUCCUCCGCCCACCACCCUCUCCGCCCUGUCUCUCAAGCACCGCCUCUCCUUCAGAACCCAACUCGCUCUUUUCCCCAGGAAAGCCCCCUCCUUGUUGCUACCUAGGUCCACCGACAACGGUGCAGGGGUGGUGAGCUCUACAGCGACCGUGGCGGAGGAGGAGGAGGAGAAGGAUAAGUUGGAGGAGAAGAAGGAAGAAACGCCUCCCCCAGCUGCCGCGGAAAAGGAUGUGGAGAGUAAGCAACAAUCUCUUCUUGGCUCCAACGGCGCUGCGGCAAGGGCGGAGGAGGUGCUGCCGCCC